AACAGGAUUAGAUACCCUGGUAGUCCACGCCGUAAACGAUGUCGACUUGGGGGUUGUGCCCUUGAGGCGUGGCUUCCGGAGCUAACGCGUUAAGUCGACCGCCUGGGGAGUACGGCCGCAAGGUUAAAACUCAAAUGAAUUGACGGGGGCCCGCACAAGCGGUGGAGCAUGUGGUUUAAUUCGAUGCAACGCGAAGAACCUUACCUACUCUUGACAUCCAGAGAACUUUCCAGAGAUGGAUUGGUGCCUUCGGGAACUCUGAGACAGGUGCUGCAUGGCUGUCGUCAGCUCGUGUUGUGAAAUGUUGGGUUAAGUCCCGCAACGAGCGCAACCCUUAUCCUUUGUUGCCAGCGGUCCGGCCGGGAACUCAAAGGAGACUGCCAGUGAUAAACUGGAGGAAGGUGGGGAUGACGUCAAGUCAUCAUGGCCCUUACGAGUAGGGCUACACACGUGCUACAAUGGCGCAUACAAAGAGAAGCGACCUCGCGAGAGCAAGCGGACCUCAUAAAGUGCGUCGUAGUCCGGAUUGGAGUCUGCAACUCGACUCCAUGAAGUCGGAAUCGCUAGUAAUCGUGGAUCAGAAUGCCACGGUGAAUACGUUCCCGGGCCUUGUACACACCGCCCGUCACACCAUGGGAGUGGGUUGCAAAAGAAGUAGGUAGCUUAACCUUCGGGAGGGCGCUUACCACUUUGUGAUCCAUGACUGGGGUGAAGUCGUAACAAGGUAACC
rnacentral:rRNA from 1 species